UUGUCGAAUUCCCGCAAAAGCAGACCGUGAACAUGUUAAACCACAUUGGGACUGCGGGUCUUGGGGGAGACCCUUUGCCCGCCGCGCCCACAUCUCGCACAGCGCGCGCCUAGGCGCGCGUUGUGCGGGCUAACGAAUCCCGGCGCGGCAUGCGCCAAGGAAAACACACAGAAGCGUCAGCCUCCCGUCGCCCCGUACGCGGUGUGCGGUGGGCGGAACUGACGUCUCUCCAAUGUCAUAACGACUCUCGGCAACGGAUAUCUCGGCUCUCGCAUCGAUGAAGAACGUAGCGAAAUGCGAUACUUGGUGUGAAUUGCAGAAUCCCGUGAACCAUCGAGUCUUUGAACGCAAGUUGCGCCCGAAGCCAUUCGGUCGAGGGCACGUCUGCCUGGGCGUCACGCAUCUCGUCGCCUCCCCCACCCGCACCCCACGGGGCGAUCGGGUGUCUGGGGCGGAAAUUGGCCCCCCGUGCGCUUUGCCGCGCGGCCGGCCUAAAUGAGAACCCGUGGCCACUCGCGUCACGACCAGUGGUGGUUGAACACUCAACUCUCGUGCUGUCGUGACGUUUCGAGCCUGCCUUCGGGAUUCGUCGCAGACCCUACCGUGCGAUCCUAUCGCGCCUUCGACCGCGACCCCA
rnacentral:rRNA from 1 species